UUUACUAGUCAUUGAUGUCCUGUCUAGCUCUAUAAUGUGCAACAUGUGGGGGAGGCCUCCCCUGAGAGUUGUGGGCAGUUGCUGCGAGCAGCUGGAUGGAGGCGCCAGGUUCCAUCUCCAAGCUGGCUGAAAAGAGUAAAAAGAAAAACAAACCUGCCUUUAAGAGUCCACAGAAAACCUUCCCCCUUCAAGUUAUUAAAGGUAUUUACCAGCAAUUAAGAAGCCAAAGUUGUCGCUGUUACCCUUAUCAUUAUUAGCCUUUCUCUGUCGCCUCAUAACACAAGUUCUCACUGCAACAUACAACCUGAGUGUUGAGGAGACAAGCUGCAAUUUUACGCAUGGUUAUUGUGUGUUCACAAAGCUUCCCCACCUCCACUCAGUCAAUACCUGGCUCUCUCUCUGACAUUUGAGGGAAGAAUUAUGAGAAGUUUUUCAGAGGAUGUAUCUGGACAGCUGGACUCCGAGUAGCAAUUCAAGAAAGGAUGCUCCCACCAAUCUUGCAGGACAAACAGUUCACUCUCCAUGCAAGACAAUAAUGGACACAAAUCUGACAUCAGAAACCACUGGGAGAACCGUUCACACUCCCAGGACACUCUGCUCCUGAGCUGAAAAUGGUCAUUCUCAAACAAAGGAACUUCAAAAGGAGAUUCCAAUGAGAAACAGCUUCAUUACAACUUACCGUAUUUUUUGCACCA